rnacentral:rRNA from 1 species
CGCCGCGUGAGGGAUGAGGCCUCUGGGCUGUAAACCUCUUUUCUCAAGGAAGAAGAUCUGACGGUACUUGAGGAAUAAGCCACGGCUAAUUCCGUGCCAUGAGCCGCGGUAAUACGGGAGUGGAAAGCGUUAUCCGGAAUUAUUGGGCGUAAAGCGUCCGCAGGCGGCCUUGUAAGUCUGUCGUUAAAGCGUGGAGCUUAACUCCAUUUCAGCGGUGGAAACUACAAGGCUUGAGUGUGGUAGGGGCAGAGGGAAUUCCCGGUGUAGCGGUGAAAUGCGUAGAUAUCGGGAAGAACACCAGUGGCGAAGGCGCUCUGCUGGGCCAUCACUGACGCUCAUGGACGAAAGCCACGGGAGCGACAAGG